GUGCUCGCUUUGGCAGCACAUAGACUAAAACUGGAACAACCCAGAGAAGAUUAGCAUGGCCCCUAUAUAAGAAUGCCUUGCAGGGACGCCUGGGUGGCUCAGUUGGU